CCUACGGGAGGCAGCAGUGAGGAAUAUUGGUCAAUGGGCGGAAGCCUGAACCAGCCAAGUAGCGUGCGGGAUGAAGGCCCUACGGGUCGUAAACCGCUUUUGCACGGGGAUAACACCCUCCACUUGUGGAGGUCUGCAGGUACCGUGCGAAUAAGGGCCGGCUAAUUCCGUGCCAGCAGCCGCGGUAAUACGGAAGGCCCGAGCGUUAUCCGGAUUCAUUGGGCUAAAAGGGAGCGUAGGCGGGCGUUCAAGUCAGCUGUAAAAGCGCGCGGCGCAACCGCGCCCGGCAGUUGAAACUGGACGCCUUGAGUUCACAACAGGCAGGCGGAAUUCGUGGUGUAGCAGUGAAAUGCAUAGAUAUCACGAGGAACCCCGAUUGCGAAGGCAGCCUGCCGGGGUGCGACUGACGCUGAGGCUCGAAGGUGCGGGUAUCAAACAGGAUUAGAUACCCGAGUAGUC
rnacentral:rRNA from 1 species